AACCAAUCCUAACGCGUCGCGCUCCCCGCUGAGCCAAUGGCGGCGUUGUCCGCGCGCGGCCACCUGACCCCGGGCGCCGUUGUUAUUAGGCGCGGCGAGGCGGGAGGCGCGCGGCAGCGGGGUUGGGCUCUGGCCGGGAGUCGACUGAAGGAGCGAGGACUGGGAGCGCGCGCGCGCGCGCGCCUGUGCCCGGACUGUUUGCCGCGGCCACUCGCUCUUUCUCCUCCCGCCUCAUGCCAGCGUCUUAUUCAGCCCCCUCAGCCCUUCCGCCCGCCUCCAGUCGCCAGCCUGCAGCUCCCACAUUUGACUAUAUGCACUGUGAGAUCAGACACUCGUCACCUGGGUUCACUGCUGUAUUCCAGUGCCUACAACAGUGCCUGGCACAAAGAAGGGCUCAAAGGCCCAAGACGAAGGAAGAAUGAGUGAGUCAGUCGAUCAAUCAGCUCACCAGCCAAAAUAAAGAAACAGCAACGGGCAGGACAGACCUCUCUGUCAUUCAGGUCCCUCCUUCGGUGAAUGAUACCAUGGUGAGAAAAGCCACUUGCAGAUGAAGUGAAUCCUUGAGAGAGAAUCAGAAGUGGAGCGAUCGUGGGCCUG
rnacentral:lncRNA from 1 species